UUUUCAGACAGGGUCUCACUCCGUCACCCAGGCUGGAGUACAGUGGCACAAUCUCGGUUCUCUGCAACCUCCAUCGCCCAGGCUCAAGUGAUCCCCCCACCUCAACCUCCCAAGUAGCUGGGAUUACAAGCCUGCACCUCUAUGCCCAGCUAAUUUUUGUGUUUUUAGUAGAGACAAGGUUUUGCCAUGUUGGCCAGGCUGGUCUCGAACUCCUGACCUCAGGUGAUCCAAAAGCCUUGGCCUCCCCAAGUGCUGGGAUUACAGGCUUGAGCCACCACACCUGGCCAAUUAUUUUAUUAAGCCAGAUGAAUCUAGCUCUGGACAGUUAUAAGCAAAGAAAAACUAACGGAAAAAUACAGAGGCCUGAAGAAUCACAGAGGGAAACUCAUUUGUUCCUCUGGCAGCUCUCCCCAAGGACACCUGUGAGACAAAGUCAGAAGUGGCUUCCCUGGUGACCCAGAGAGACCACAGGGCUCUUGCCGCUGCUUCCUCUACUCCCGUAUUUUGCCGAGCUCUCUAAAUUGUCUCAGCUCUAGCCUGAAUCUAUGGUUUCAUGGAGAGCUCCCUAAAAUCUGUUGACAGAGGAAGAGAAGACUUGAACCUGGUUUACAGAUGGUACUGCACAAUAUGCAGGAACCACAUGAAAGCAGGCAGUUGAAGCACUGCAGCCUCUCUCUGGGACAUCUCCUAAGAAAAAUGAGGGAGCAUCCUCCCAUCCUCCAGGGUCUUUCUCUGGCACGAUCUAGGCUCACUGCAACCUCCACCUCCUGGAUUCAAGAGAUUCUCUCACCUCAGCCUCCCGAGUACCUAGGAUUACAGGUUCCUGCCACCAAGCCUGGCUUGUAUUUUUAAUAGAGACGAGGUUUCACCAUGUAGGCAAAGCUGGUCUUAAACUCCUGACCUCAAGUGACCCACCCACCUCAGCCUUCCAAAGUGCUGGGAUUAUAGGCAUGAGCUACCCCACCUGGCCUCGAUCUGUAAGUGUUUUCUAAUUUCCCUUGUGAAUACUUUUUUUGACCCAUUGGUUGUUCAAGACUAUGUUGUUUAAUUUUGACAUAUGUGUGAAUUUUUUACUUAUACUUCUAUAAUUCAUUUCUAGCUUCAUUCCAUUGUGGCCGGAGAAGAUACUCUGUAUGAUAUCUACCUAAAAUCUGUAGAGGCUUGUUUUGUGUUCUAAAAUGUGGUUUAUCCUAGAGAAUAUUCCAUUUGCUUCUGAGAGAAUUGUGUAUCUGCUAUUGUACUAUGAAUGUUUGAUAUAUGUCUAUUAGAUCUGAUUGGUUUAUACUGUUAGUCAAGUUCACUAACUCUUCCCCAACCUACUAUCUAUUCAUUAUGAAAAAUAGGGCGUUGAAGUUUCCAAUUAUUAUAACUCUCUUUUCUGCCUUCAAAUUUGUCAAUGUUUACUUUAUGUAUCUUGUGACUCUGAAGUUUGGUGCAAAUAUAUUUAUAAUUGUUAUAUUUUCUUACUAUAGUGACUCUUACAAUAUACAAUGUAUUUAUUUGAUCUUGCAAUAGAUCUUGCCUUAAAUCUAUUUUGGCUGAGAUUAAUAUAGUACUCUAGUUCUCUGUUGGUUGCUAUUUUCAUGACUUUUUUUUUAUUCUUUCACUUUCCACCUAUUUGUAGUUAUAAUCUAAAGUGAAUCUUGUAGACAGCAUACGGUUGGAUCAUGUUUUAAUGUAACUCAAUUCUGCCAAUUUCUGACUUUUGAUUUAAGAGUUUAAUUCAUUUCCAAAAAUAUAAUGUUAAGGAAAGAUUUAUUUCUGCUGUUUUGCUAUUUAUUUUCUCUGUGUGUUAUACCUUUUUUGUUUCUCAUUGUCUCCAAUACGUUUUUAUGUUUAGUUGAUUUUGUUAAAUGUAUCAUUUGUUAUCUUCUCAUUUCCUUUUGAGUGCAUUUUUCAGAUAUUUUCCUAAUGGUUACCAUGGGAAUCACAAUUAACAUCUUACAUUUAUAACAAUCCAGAUUCAAUUGAGACCAACUUAGCUUCAUUAGCAAACAUUUUGCUUCUAAUAAGAUCUGCUCCUCCAUUAUGUUGAUGUCACAAAUCAUGUAUUUUGUAUUGUAUGCCCAAUAUAAUUAUUUUUUAUGGAUUUUUCUUUUAUAUUAUUAAAGAGAUAAAAAGUUCAAUUAUAA
rnacentral:lncRNA from 10 species